GCUCCAGCUUGCUGGGGUGGAUGAGUGGCGAACGGGUGAGUAAUACGUGAGUAACCUGCCCUUGACUCUGGGAUAAGCCUGGGAAACCGGGUCUAAUACUGGAUACGACGUCCUACCGCAUGGUGGGGGGUGGAAAGGGUUUUAUUGGUUUUGGAUGGGCUCACGGCCUAUCAGCUUGUUGGUGGGGUAAUGGCCUACCAAGGCGACGACGGGUAGCCGGCCUGAGAGGGUGACCGGCCACACUGGGACUGAGACACGGCCCAGACUCCUACGGGAGGCAGCAGUGGGGAAUAUUGCACAAUGGGCGCAAGCCUGAUGCAGCGACGCCGCGUGAGGGAUGACGGCCUUCGGGUUGUAAACCUCUUUCAGCAGGGAAGAAGCCACAAGUGACGGUACCUGCAGAAGAAGCGCCGGCUAACUACGUGCCAGCAGCCGCGGUAAUACGUAGGGCGCAAGCGUUGUCCGGAAUUAUUGGGCGUAAAGAGCUCGUAGGCGGUUUGUCGCGUCUGCUGUGAAAGCCCGGGGCUCAACCCCGGGUCUGCAGUGGGUACGGGCAGACUAGAGUGCAGUAGGGGAGACUGGAAUUCCUGGUGUAGCGGUGAAAUGCGCAGAU
rnacentral:rRNA from 1 species